rnacentral:rRNA from 1 species
UACGUAGGGGGCAAGCGUUGUCCGGAAUCAUUGGGCGUAAAGAGCGUGUAGGCGGCCAGAUAAGUCCGCUGUGAAAACUCGAGGCUCAACUUCGAGCUGUCGGCGGAAACUAUCUGGCUAGAGUCCGGAAGAGGAGAGUGGAAUUCCUGGUGUAGCGGUGAAAUUCGUAGAUAUUGGGAAGAACACCGGUGGCGAAGGCGGCGACCUGGUCCAUUACUGACGCUGAGGCGCGACAGCGUGGGGAGCAAACAGG